AGUGAACGCUGGCGGUAGGCCUAACACAUGCAAGUCGAACGGCAGCACAGUAAGAGCUUGCUCUUACGGGUGGCGAGUGGCGGACGGGUGAGGAAUACAUCGGAAUCUACUUUUUCGUGGGGGAUAACGUAGGGAAACUUACGCUAAUACCGCAUACGACCUACGGGUGAAAGCAGGGGAUCUUCGGACCUUGCGCGAUUGAAUGAGCCGAUGUCGGAUUAGCUAGUUGGCGGGGUAAAGGCCCACCAAGGCGACGAUCCGUAGCUGGUCUGAGAGGAUGGUCAGCCACACUGGAACGGAGCCACGGUCCAGACUCCUACGGGAGGCAGCAGUGGGGAAUAUUGGACAAUGGGCGCAAGCCUGAUCCAGCCAUACCGCGUGGGUGAAGAAGGCCUUCGGGUUGUAAAGCCCUUUUGUUGGGAAAGAAAAGCAGCAGGUUAAUACCCCGCUGUUCUGACGGUACCCAAAGAAUAAGCACCGGCUAACUUCGUG
rnacentral:rRNA from 1 species